GUCAAGUGAGAUAAAUGAAAUAAAGGUCUGUUGAUCGGGGUUUCUCAUCUAGUCACAUUAAAAUGGUAAGGUAUUUAGGAGGAUCGGUAAAAUUACGCACAGGUCCCAGAAACCAGUCGUCUCGCAUAACCAGGCUAACAUCGAAAACCCUGAAUUAAUUACCACGUGCUGCCCUGCACCUAUCUGAGCACGCGAGUUAUCCCCGGCUCAGAGGCAGCGGUGAGGGUGCGGACAUCGCUAUGCUUAUUUUGGCCUUGGUAGCUCGGUAUCUUAAUUUCGAUACGAAGAGAGCCAAAUUACAUUCUGCACCACGACCACCACGGGCAGAGGUUACACAGCCGCGGCCGCGACAGGUCGUAGCUCCGCCUCCCAGGCCUUUACGUCAUCACCCAAAGACAGGACUGAGAAAGGUCCCCCUUCGUUCGCCGUCGCCGCACUGAGUGCGCUGGGGCGCUCCGCCUACCAGCGCCUGAGCGGGACGCGCGUCGCCGAGCCCGGCGAACUCUGGGAGCCUGCGUCAGGCGCCCGCUAGGGGCAGUCUGCUGCGCCGUGGUCCUCCGGCGGUCGUUCGGCGCCCCACGUGCUUCUGCUGUUUGGAAUUCGCCUAGCUCGGGACGCAGUGAUAGUAUUUCAUCAUGCAUCGGAAGAAAGUAGAUAACCGAAUCCGGAUUCUCAUAGAGAAUGGUGUAGCUGAGCGGCAAAGGUCUCUCUUUGUUGUGGUUGGAGAUCGAGGGAAAGAUCAGGUGGUCAUACUCCAUCACAUGUUGUCCAAAGCAACUGUGAAGGCUCGGCCUUCAGUGCUGUGGUGUUAUAAGAAAGAGCUGGGGUUUAGCAGUCACCGGAAGAAAAGAAUGCGUCAGCUGCAGAAGAAAAUAAAGAAUGGAACACUGAACAUAAAGCAAGAUGACCCUUUUGAACUCUUUGUCGCUGCCACAAACAUUCGCUACUGCUACUACAAUGAAACCCACAAGAUCCUGGGCAAUACCUUCGGCAUGUGUGUUCUCCAGGAUUUUGAAGCUUUGACUCCAAACUUGCUGGCCAGGACUGUAGAAACAGUGGAAGGCGGUGGGCUGGUGGUUAUUCUCCUACGGACCAUGAAUUCACUCAAGCAGUUAUACACGAUGACCAUGGAUGUGCAUUCAAGAUACAGAACUGAGGCCCAUCAGGAUGUGGUGGGAAGAUUUAAUGAAAGAUUUAUUCUAUCUUUGGCCUCUUGUAAGAAGUGUCUUGUCAUUGAUGACCAGCUCAACAUCCUGCCCAUCUCCUCCCACGCCGCCAGCAUUGAGGCCCUACCUCCCCAGACCCCGGAUGAGAGUCUUGGUCCUUCUGAUCUGGAGCUGAAGGAAUUGAAGGAGAGCUUGCAGGACACGCAGCCCGUGGGCGUGUUGGUAGACUGCUGCAAGACCCUAGACCAGGCCAAAGCUGUCUUGAAAUUCAUCGAGGGGAUCUCUGAAAAGACCCUGAGGAGCACUGUCGCACUCACAGCUGCCCGAGGAAGGGGAAAAUCUGCAGCCCUUGGGUUGGCUAUUGCUGGGGCAGUGGCUUUUGGGUACUCCAAUAUCUUUGUUACCUCCCCAAGCCCUGAUAACCUCCACACUGUGUUUGAAUUUGUAUUUAAAGGAUUUGAUGCGCUACAGUAUCAGGAACAUCUGGAUUACGAGAUUAUUCAGUCUUUAAAUCCUGAAUUUAACAAAGCAGUGAUCAGAGUGAACAUAUUCCGAGAACACAGGCAGACCAUUCAGUAUAUACAUCCCGCAGACGCUGUGAAACUGGGCCAGGCUGAACUCGUUGUGAUUGAUGAAGCAGCUGCCAUCCCCCUCCCCCUGGUGAAGAGCCUCCUGGGCCCCUACCUUGUUUUCAUGGCAUCCACCAUCAACGGAUACGAGGGCACUGGACGGUCACUGUCUCUCAAGCUAAUUCAGCAGCUCCGUCAACAGAGUGCCCAGAGCCAGAUCAGCACCACUGCUGAGAACAAGACCACGACAACUGCCAGGCUGGCCUCAGCGCGAACGCUGCAUGAGGUUUCCCUGCAGGAGUCGAUCCGAUAUGCCCCUGGGGAUGCGGUGGAGAAGUGGCUGAAUGACUUGCUGUGCCUGGACUGCCUCAACAUUACUCGGAUAGUGUCAGGCUGCCCCUUGCCGGAAGCCUGCGAACUCUACUAUGUGAACAGAGAUACCCUCUUUUGCUACCACAAGGCCUCUGAAGUUUUCCUGCAGCGGCUGAUGGCCCUCUACGUGGCUUCUCACUACAAGAACUCUCCCAACGAUCUCCAGAUGCUCUCUGAUGCGCCUGCUCACCAUCUCUUCUGCCUCCUGCCCCCCGUACCCCCCACUCAGAACGCCCUUCCCGAGGUGCUCGCUGUCGUCCAGGUGUGCCUUGAGGGGGAGAUUUCUCGCCAGUCCAUCUUGAACAGCCUGUCUCGAGGCAAGAAGGCUUCUGGAGACCUGAUUCCGUGGACAGUGUCAGAACAGUUCCAAGAUCCAGACUUUGGUGGCCUUUCAGGUGGAAGAGUUGUUCGCAUUGCUGUUCACCCAGAUUAUCAAGGGAUGGGCUACGGCAGCCGAGCUCUCCAGCUGCUGCAGAUGUACUAUGAAGGCAGGUUCCCUUGUCUUGAGGAGAAGGUCAUUGAGACAUGGCAAGAAAUUCACACUGUAAGCAGUGAGGCCGUCAGCUUGUUGGAAGAAGUUGUCACUCCUCGGAAGGACCUGCCUCCUUUGCUCCUCAAAUUGAAUGAGAGGCCUGCCGAGCGCCUGGAUUACCUGGGUGUGUCCUAUGGCUUGACCCCCAGGCUCCUCAAGUUCUGGAAACGAGCUGGGUUCGUUCCUGUUUAUCUGAGACAGACCCCGAAUGACUUGACCGGAGAACACUCGUGCAUCAUGCUGAAGACGCUGGCUGAUGACAAUGAGGCUGACCAGGGAGCCUGGCUCUCAGCUUUUUGGAAAGAUUUCCGAAGGCGGUUCCUGGCUCUGCUGUCCUACCAGUUCAGCACCUUCUCUCCUCCCCUGGCUCUGAACAUUAUUCAGAACAGGAACAUCGGGAAGCCAGCACAGCCAGCCCUAUGCCGAGAGGAGCUGGAAGCCCUCUUUCUCCCCUAUGACCUGAAGAGGCUGGAGAUGUAUUCACGGAACAUGGUUGACUAUCACCUCAUCAUGGACAUGAUCCCGGCCAUCUCCCGGAUGUAUUUCCUGAACCAGCUCGGGGACCUGGCCCUGUCCGCUGCCCAGUCGGCUCUUCUCUUGGGGGUCGGCCUGCAGCAUAAGUCCGUGGACCAGCUGGAAAAGGAGAUCGAACUGCCCUCAGGCCAGUUGAUGGGACUUUUCAACCGGAUAAUCCGCAAAGUUGUGAAGCUAUUUAAUGAAGUGCAGGAAAAGGCCAUUGAGGAGCAGAUGGUGGCAGUGAAGGACGUGAUCAUGGAGCCCACGAUGAAGACCCUGAACGAUGACCUGGAUGAAGCAGCAAAGGAAUUCCAGGAGAAACACAAGAAAGAAGUGGGGAAGCUGAAGGACAUGGACCUCUCUCAAUACAUAAUCCGUGGGGAUGAUGAAGAGUGGAAUGAGGUUUUAAACAAAGCUGGGCAGAAUGCUUCGAUUGUCAGCCUGAAAAGUGACAAGAAAAGGAAAUUAGAAGCGAAACAAGAACCCAAACAGAAUAAAAAGUUGAAGAAAAACAGAGACAUGAAGCACAAAAAAGAUAUGAAACUGAAGCGGAAGAAAUAGUGAAGAGAAACUUGGGCAUCAGCAGCUGACUCAUGAAGAGGCCCUGACUUUCUGAACUGCCUCUGGCUGGACUGGGCGGUGGCUGCACCAUUUAAAGCAACUCGAGCCCCAUCAGACCCUGAAGCUGGCCUGGAAUUCAGUGUAUGCACCAAGCUUGGCUUAAAGCAAAGACACUUCUGAAUGGGUCUGCUUGGACCUUGACGCUCCUGUCAGGUGGUUUGGACCCUUCCAUCUGUUGGGAACAGAAAUUAUGUGGUGGCUUCACACAUAUUUUGGUAUGUUUGUUUGAUGGUAUCUAUUUUCAGGUCCCCAGUCCUAUACUGUGGUAUUGAAACCUUGACCCUGAAGGUCCACUGUAGUAUUGUUCCUUAUUCAUGUCACCAAGUUCAAGAAGAGCUCCAGGUGGAAUCAGCUCUGGUGCUUUUCUCUGAUCUUUCUGUCUUCUGCCACAGCAUGCGAGGCGAGGACAACUAGGCAGUGCCCUGGUGGCAUCAGUCUUCAGCUUCUACUCUGUUCUUAUUUUUACCUGAAAAAUUCAUGUGGCCUUGGUUACUGAUCUUCAUUGCUUUUUCUUAGACUUUAAAAGGACUGGUCUUCUAUGAGUCGAAAUAGAUUCUUUCCUCGGCCCUGAUAUGUAGCCAGGUUCCUAGCUGGACAACGCAUGGAUGGUGAGCUAAAGGGGAGCCUCUGGACCAAAGAAGAUUAAACAGGUGACCCAGGGGACUCAUGGCCACAGGGAGAACAAACUCUGUCCCCUGCAUCUCUCUCCAUAGCCCUAGGGGCCUUUUGUCUCCUGGCUCUGCAACUUCCUGCCUAAAGACCCCCUGUGAAGUCUGCAGGAGAGUUUGCUGAGGAGAGAUGAAAAUAAUUUCUGAUCCAUUCUCUGGAGAGUGCCUGAGCCUACCUUUAAAAGAUCUUAGGAGAGGCCAUAAGCUAAAUCAGUAUCUCAAAUGGGCUGAGCUGGGUGUAUCCUAACUCUCCUGUCUUGUCCCAUGUCCCACAGGUGUGGGGCCUAGCCUGAGCCCUCGCACUAGUCUCUAGCCCCAAGGCCUGCCCUCUGCUUGGCUCCAGGGCAUAGGAAGAGGUGCUCUGGAGCAGACUGCCUGGCUUUGAUACUGGCUCUGCCCUGACCCUCACUGUGACCUUGGGUGUACCACUUAGCUCUCCCUGCUGUCUGGGUCCACAUCUGUAAUAUGCAAGUGGUAAUGACAACACUAGCUCAGGGCUGUGGUGAGGGGUAGAACGGGAAAAGCUAACAGUGCCUGGCAGGCAGCAAGUGCCCACCAAGUCUGAGUUCUGUGCCCAGAGAGUGGCAAGGCGUGCUGCAGUUACCUGCCAGUGCUGACUUACUGAAUGGGAUUGGCUUUGUUCACAACCCACAACCUGAGCUAGAAGAGGAGUCCCCUUGGGCAGCAAGGAACGUGCAUUUCACAGUCAGACUGUCUGGCGCUGGCUUUGUGUCUUCCAGCGAGGUUUGCUUCCCUCUUCCACACAAAAAGCAAGCAAACGUUUUGCCUCCUGUGUACAGUCCUGGUCCUUUUAUUUGCAAAGUGAAUGUUCCUGAACAGGUCUCUGCACUUCCUGGUUGUGAUCUUGGAUUCUCCUCCAAAUCUGAAAGAGCAUGCCUCCCCCAGGCCUCACCAUCUGGCCCCCAGACAGUGACAUCUGUAAAGCUUGCUGUCACAGGAGCUCUCACUUGCGAAAUGAAUUCGGCCAGGCCGGCUAUGAAUGCUGCCACCAGGACAUGGGGAAGGGGCUGAAGAAGCCUGAACAAAGGAGAUGCCUAAAUGGUCUUCAUCCUGGAGCAGGGAGGGGCUGAUACAGGCCUGCUUCAGCGCCUCCACCGCUCAUCUGGCCCAGCAGCCCCAGAGGACUACCGAGUGACCAGGAGA